GCCUCCCACAGCCAGCCUCCCCUGCAGGAUCACCCUGAGCACCGCGUCCUCCUCCUCCCUCCUGGGGCCUCCCCUCUGCCUCCUUCAGGACCAUAACUGUCUCCUCGGGGCCUGGCAGAGGUCCCGUCCGCUCUUCUCACACUUUCUUCACCUGCUCUGACUUCAGACCUCAACUCAAACAUCACUGCCUUGGGGCAGCCUGCCUGGACCUCUUGACCAGAGCACAUGCCCCCAACAGGCUGUCUGGGCACCAGGCUCCCCAAAGAGGCCGGCUUUGAUCACUCCCUCCCGGCUCAGCCCUCCUUAAAGCACCACUCUGCUUUAUUCUCUUCCCAGCACUUAAUGAAGUCCGAAAACGUCCUCUGUCCUCUUCGGACCCUGAGCUGCCCAUGGACAGGACUUCUCUCCUUGUUUGUGGCUUAUGCCCAGUGCCCGCAUGGUGCCUGGUCUAUAACAGGAGUUCAUAGUGGGUGGAUGGAUGAAAGAAUGAAUUAGUGAAUGGAUGAAUGAGUGGACAAAUAAGGAAGAGAGGAAGGGAGAGCUGGGGACAGGCAGGCAGGCUAGACUCAUGUGGGACUUUGCACUCCAUCCUCCCCUGGAAUCUUGACACCACACGUAAGCAAUGUUAAUCCAUUUUAUAAAUGAGGAAACUGAAGCCUGAAGGUGCUUUGGCUUCUCUCUGAAUAACAAAGCUGGUAAAUAGCGGGGCCUUCUUCCACCUGAGGCCUCUGGCUCCACAGUCAACUGCCUUUUGAAAAUUCUUUGACAGCCAGAGGGUGGAUCUCAGCAUCUCUUUGAAGAGUCCCAUGCUGAUUGCCUUUGUGCACGUCCAUCCCGCCUCGUGUGAGCUGAAGCCAUACAUUCACCCCUUCCCUCCCCAGCCGGAUGUUUAUUCCAACUCCGUCUGAGCAUAGCUGUGUCCUCGGGAGAGAAAAGAGAGCCAACUGUCUUUGUGCCAAGAGAAAUCAUCGUUUCCUAUGAAAUUUGAAAAACACUCCACUUCUAGGUGUCAUUCCAUCAUCUGGCAUUAUACACCGUGGUGCGGCUGGUCCCAUUCCUCCGGUGGCCGCCAGGAAUCCUCUAAAAACUUUCUAACUCCAAGAGAAGACAAGGAUCUGGUGGGAAAAAAGUGAAUUAAAAAGCCUGCCUUCCCCAGGUGUACAACUGGAUGCUUUGGUAUACAUGUACAUUGUGAAAUGACUUCACCAAUCAAGCUAACUGACCUAUCCAUCACCUUAUAUAUUUAUUUUUUCCAUUUUUUUGUGGUGAGCACACAACACUCUCUUCGCAAGUCUCCAGUGUCCAAUCCACCAUUAUUAACCAGAAUCUCCCUGUGGAAACUCUCGGAGCAGGGAAACGCCUUUCACGGCCAGCACCCACUGCCCGGAGCUGUCUCCCCUCUUCACUCGGCCGUUUCCCACCCAUGCAGACUCAGGACGCUCAGGGAAACAGAUUUGCCACAAAUCCCAGGUGAUGAAGGUUCUCAGUGAUGGGACAAUCAUGGACACCAAGAUGCUAGAGCUGUGUAGGGAAGCUGUGGGUGGCCCAUUCAGAUCCCCUUUGCCUGGCUGACACACCCACCCGUCAGCUGCAAACAGUUCAACUUGAGCCUCCUUUGGAAGAUGGCCACUGGCCCAUGGGAGCCCCCUUGCCCGCAGGUGCCUGAGAGGUCACGCCCCUUCCUCACCAGGGGCAUCAAAUACUGAAAUAUUGAAUGAAUGAAUCAACAUAGUCAAUGCCUGUCUGAUGUGGGGGUCUGACAGCCUGGGUCUUUCUUUUCUGGGGGUCAGUGUCAGGGCGGUUGGGGGGGCAUGGAGAGC
rnacentral:lncRNA from 1 species